AGGGACUCCGAGUGCCCGUAAAAUCGGGCUGUCCAUCUGUUUAAAUAGCAGGUGAAGAAAGGGCCGGGCAAGACCGGUGCCAGCCGCCGCGGUAAUACCGGCGGCUCGAGUGGUGGCCACUAUUACUGGGCUUAAAGCGUUCGUAGCUGGUUUGUUAAGUCUCUGGGGAAAUCUUCCGGCUUAACCGGAAGGCGUAUCAGGGAUACUGGCAGACUAGGGACCGGGAGAGGUGAGGGGUACUCCAGGGGUAGGAGUGAAAUCCUGUAAUCCUUGGGGGACCACCUGUGGCGAAGGCGCCUCACCAGAACGGCUCCGACAGUGAGGGACGAAAGCUGGGGGAGCAAACCGGAUUAGAUACCCGGGUAGUCCCAGCCGUAAACGAUGCGCGUUAGGUGUAUCGGUGACCACGAGUCACCGAGGUGCCGAAGAGAAAUCGUGAAACGUGCCGCCUGGGAAGUACGGUCGCAAGGCUGAAACUUAAAGGAAUUGGCGGGGGAGCACCACAACAGGUGGAGCCUGCGGUUUAAUCGGACUCAACGCCGGGAAACUCACCAGUUAAGACAGCUGAAUGAUAGUCGGGCUGAAGACUCUACUUGACUAGCUGAGAGGAGGUGCAUGGCCGUCGUCAGUUCGUACUGUGAAGCAUCCUGUUAAGUCAGGCAACGAGCGAGACCCACGCCAACAGUUGCUAGCUCAUUCUCCGGGAUGGAGAGGACACUGUUGGGACCGCCUCUGCUAAAGAGGAGGAAGGAAUGGGCAACGGUAGGUCAGCAUGCCCCGAAUUAACUGGGCUACACGCGGGCUACAAUGGGUGGGACAAUGGGUAUCGACACCGAAAGGUGAAGGCAAUCUCCUAAACCCAUCCGUAGUUCGGAUUGUGGGCUGCAACUCGCCCACAUGAAGCUGGAAUCUGUAGUAAUCGUGUCUCAAAAUGGCACGGUGAAUAUGUCCCUG
rnacentral:rRNA from 1 species